rnacentral:rRNA from 1 species
GACGAACGCUGGCGGCGUGCUUAGCACAUGCAAGUCGAACGGAAAGGCCCUGCUUUUGUGGGGUGCUCGAGUGGCGAACGGGUGAGUAACACGUGAGUAACCUGCCCUUGACUUUGGGAUAACUUCAGGAAACUGGGGCUAAUACCGGAUAGGAGCUCCUGCUGCAUGGUGGGGGUUGGAAAGUUUCGGCGGUUGGGGAUGGACUCGCGGCUUAUCAGCUUGUUGGUGGGGUAGUGGCUUACCAAGGCUUUGACGGGUAGCCGGCCUGAGAGGGUGACCGGCCACAUUGGGACUGAGAUGCGGCACAGACUCCUACGGGAGGCAGCAGUGGGGAAUAUUGCACAAUGGGCGGAAGCCUUAUGCAGCAACGCCGCGUGCGGGAUGACGGCCUUCGGGUUGUAAACCGCUUUCGCCUGUGACGAAGCGUGAGUGACGGUAAUGGGUAAAGAAGCACCGGCUAACUACGUG